UGUGCUUGUAGCUCAGUCGGUAGAGCUGGUGGCUGUUAACCACUGUGUCGUAGGUUCGAUUCCUACCUAGCACGCUUA
rnacentral:tRNA from 5 species